rnacentral:rRNA from 1 species
GACGAACGCUGGCGGCGUGCCUAAUACAUGCAAGUCGAACGCAGUGGGGACGGGUGAGUAACACGUUGGUAACCUCCCCUCAGAGGGGAUAACACUUGGACACAGGUGCUAAACCGAUACUGAUGGAUGGUCCCGCGGUGCCUUAGCUAGUUGGUGAGGUAACGGCGCACCAAGGCCACGAUGCAUAGCCGACCUGAGAGGUCGAUCGGCCACACUGGGACUGAGACACGGCCCAGACUCCUACGGGAGGCAGCAGUAGGGAAUCUUCGGCAAUGGACGAAAGGCUGACCGAGCAAUGCCGCGUGAGUGAAGAAGGUUUUCGGAUCGUAAAGCUCUUUUGUUAGAGAAGCGGUAUCUAACCAGAAAGCCACGGCUAACUACGUGCCAGCAGCCGCGGUGAUUC